CCUACGGGGGGCAGCAGUGGGGAAUAUUGCACAAUGGGGGAAACCCUGAUGCAGCGACGCCGCGUGAGUGAAGAAGUAUCUCGGUAUGUAAAGCUCUAUCAGCAGGGAAGAAAAUGACGGUACCUGACUAAGAAGCCCCGGCUAACUACGUGCCAGCAGCCGCGGUAAUACGUAGGGGGCAAGCGUUAUCCGGAUUUACUGGGUGUAAAGGGAGCGUAGACGGCGCUGCAAGUCCGGAGUGAAAGCCCAUGGCUUAACCAUGGUACUGCUCUGGAAACUGUGGAGCUUGAGUGCGGGAGGGGCAGGCGGAAUUCCUAGUGUAGCGGUGAAAUGCGUAGAUAUAAGGAAGAACACCAGUGGCGAAGGCGGAUGACUGGACGGCAACUGACGGUGAGGCGCGAAAGCGUGGGGAGCAAACAGGAUUAGAUACCCUGGUAGUC
rnacentral:rRNA from 1 species